rnacentral:rRNA from 1 species
CAGCCGCCGCGGGAAAACGGAGGGGGCUAGCGUUGUUCGGAAUUACUGGGCGUAAAGCGCACGUAGGCGGCUUGGUAAGUUAGAGGUGAAAGCCCGGAGCUCAACUCCGGAAUUGCCUUUAAGACUGCCGAGCUAGUAGGUGAGAGAGGUAAGUGGAAUUCCGAGUGUAGAGGUGAAAUUCGUAGAUAUUCGGAAGAACACCAGUGGCGAAGGCGGCUUACUGGCUCAUUCUAGACGCUGAGGUGCGAAAGCGUGGGGAGCAAACAGGAUUAGAGACCCGCGUAGUCCCUGUCUCUUAUAC